UUGAAGGCUGUGAUGGUGAAUCCUACCUAUUUCAUGAGGGAUUGUUUUAUUCCCAUCUGGAGAUUUGAAAAUCAUCAAGCGAUUCUUCUGAGCCUCG